UUUGUUAAUAUUACUGAUCUUUUUUUGAUAAUACUUAUUUCUUUGCAGACUGGAUACUAGCACAGACCACCUGUCCAAGAAGGAUUCUUUGUCAGCAGAUGGUGCCUAUGUGUGAGCAGCCAAGUCCUGGAAGAUCAAGGGCUCAGAGGGGCAAGAAACUCAAGGAUACCAUGACAACUGGGAGGAGCUGGAGGUCUAUUAAUGGUUGGGUGACUUGGAUCGCAGAUGAUGGAGAAACCUCUCGAGCCAUAAUUAUACAUAAUCACACGACUUUAAGAUAUGGGAAGCCUGAAAAUGCAGCUGCGUGAACAUACUACAUACAACAAGCAAAAAGGACACAAUGAUUUUUGCAUCAGUCGUACUCUGGCAUUUGUGGGUUUUUUCCCCCAAAGGGGGGGGCUAUUUCUGUCUUUAAAAUUGGCAUUUGUCUUACCAUUUCAGUACAGUAACUCCUCACUUAAAGUCGUCCCAGUUAAUGUCUUACAUUGCUGAUCAAUUAGGGAACAUGCUUGUUUAAAGUUGGGCAAUGUUCCCUUUUAACAUUGUUUGACAGAUGCCUGCUUGCAGAAAGAGCAGCCCUUUGCAGCUAGCUGGUGGGGGCUUGGAACCAGGGUGGACCAGCUGCCCCCCAUCAGCUCCCCGCUCCCCUA